UUGACCUCAAAUCAGGUAGGAUUACCCGCUGAACUUAAGCA
rnacentral:rRNA from 3 species